rnacentral:rRNA from 1 species
GACGUAGGGGGCCAGCGUUGUUCGGAAUUACUGGGUGUAAAGGGUUCGUAGGCGGUGUGGCAAGUUGGGAGUGAAAUCUCUGGGCUCGACCCAGAGGCUGCUUCCAAAACUGCCAUGCUUGAGUGUGGGAGAGGCGCGUGGAAUUGCAGGUGUAGCGGUGAAAUGCGUAGAUAUAUGCAGGAACACCCGUGGCGAAAGCGGCGCGCUGGACCACAACUGACGCUGAGACGCGAAAGCGUGGGUAGCAAACAGG